AGCUCUAGAAAGAUUGUUGACC
rnacentral:miRNA from 1 species